UUGGGGACAUUAGAAGUAGAAGCAAGGUCUAACCAAGAGGAAGUAUCCGUAGCCUCACUUCCCCUUCCUUGUCCCCACAGC
rnacentral:pre_miRNA from 1 species